GACGAACGCUGGCGGCGUGCCUAAUACAUGCAAGUCGAGCGAAGUUUUUCUGGUGCUUGCACCGGAAAAACUUAGCGGCGAACGGGUGAGUAACACGUAAAGAACCUGCCUCAUAGACUGGGACAACUAUUGGAAACGAUAGCUAAUACCGGAUAACGGCAUUAACUGCAUGGUUGAUGUUUAAAAGUUGGUUUUGCUAACACUAUGAGAUGGCUUUGCGGUGCAUUAGCUAGUUGGUGGGGUAAAGGCCUACCAAGGCGACGAUGCAUAGCCGACCUGAGAGGGUGAUCGGCCACACUGGGACUGAGACACGGCCCAGACUCCUACGGGAGGCAGCAGUAGGGAAUCUUCCGCAAUGGGCGAAAGCCUGACGGAGCAACGCCGCGUGAGUGAAGAAGGAUUUCGGUUCGUAAAGCUCUGUUGUUAGGGAAGAAUGAUUGUGUAGUAACUAUACACAGUAGAGACGGUACCUAACCAGAAAGCCACGGCUAACUACGUG
rnacentral:rRNA from 1 species